rnacentral:lncRNA from 1 species
ACUUGACUCGAAGGAUUUGCCUGUUUUUUAUUGACCAAAUGCAAGAAGGGCGGCAAGAUGCAGAGCACCUUAGCAGCUUAGCUUAGACCCUCGGAGAGCUUGCUAACAAUAGUCCGCAAAUAUUGCAACUAGUAUGAUUUUACUAGCUAGCUAGGUGUCGUUAAACAGUUUUUCUUAAGUGUCUCAUGUCAAUAGGUCCUUUCUUGAAGGCAUUGUUUUAGAGUGUCGCGUUUUGGUUGAUCCCUUGUUAUUCCUCCCGGUGAAUUUGGUCCCAUGCAAUUGGUUUGUGUCAGGUGAUGGAGAAAUAGCUAUCACGAUCACGCUAGUUUAAAGAAGAUGGCCUUCGGAUUUUUACUUUUAUUUUUUUAAGCUGAUGUGUUCGUCCUAAUGUGUGUCAUCUUUUUAAUGGUAAUAUGGAUCUUUGUGCAUUCGAGUAUGCAGAGGCAUUGAGAAUUUUGCCUUCCUUUUUGAAAAAAAAAAGAGUGUCAUGUUAUGAUCUAAGAUGCAUCAGAAUCUAUUGAGAAACACACAUUUACACUAAGCAAGAUAAAAACAUUCGUUGUGACACAACUACAUCUUCGGGACCCUUCUCCAGUCAUGUGUCCCACAUAUUCUCGAUAAUACGCAGAUCGUCAUCAUCUCUAAUAC